rnacentral:lncRNA from 1 species
GGCACAUACUAGAAAUGGAUUGGUAACAACAACUAGAAAGAGAGGCACAUACUAGAAAUGGAUUGGUAACAACAACUAGAAAGAGAGGCACAUACUAGAAAUGGAUUGGUAACAACAACUAGAAAGAGAGGCACAUACUAGAAAUGGAUUAGUAACAACAACUAGAAAAAGAGGCACAUACUAGAAAUGGAUUAGUAACAACAACUGGAAAAAGAGGCACAUACUAGAAAUGGAUUAGUAACAACAACUGAAUUAAUGACCACAACUAGAAAAAAGGCACAUAGAAAUGGAUUAAGAACAAUACUAGAAAAAGAGACAAACUAGAAAUGGAUUACCGGUAGUAACAAUAACUAGAAAGAGAAUUGCAUUUGAUGAAUUAAUUGGUAACCUACCUAAGAUACAGAGUCACAUACAUGAAACAAAAGCUGAAAAUGGAGGCAUAUAGACUUGUAAUAUAAUUAGAGAUUGGUUUAGAGGGUUUGUUACAUAGAAACAGACCUGCAUGGUGCAUAGAGCAUAGAUUGGAAACAUAAAUAGAAAUGGAUUGCUAAGAUGAAUUAGAACAGAGUUUCGUAAUAAAGAACAGACUGACUCAAUCAGAUUCAUAAAAUAACCAGCAUCGAGGAAAUUUAAACCUGUAUCGGACUGUUCGUGUCUUUUGUGUCGGAUGGACCAUACAUGUUUUCAGUUACUCAACAUGACUUACCCAUUUAUUUGUUGUGUCCAGUAUUUCACCUUGCCUAUAAGAAAAAUAGUAUUAUUAUCCAGUACUUACUUUUGACUACAUCUAAUUUUAGUAUCUUAACAAGUACGAUAUAAAAAACACUUUGUCAUGAAGGUCGAACAAUUUGAUACUAAAAUUUUUACUGAUAUCAUCAGAACAUUAGUUGAUUAAUGCACUGAAGAUUUUUCAGUCGUGUCGACUGUUUAAUUGAGAUUUUCAGAUAUCCAGUUUUAUUCAUUUAGAUUUAGAGUGUUGAAAUAGUUUUUUUAGAAGUUUAUAUUGAGGAUAUUAUUUGUGUUGUUUUUUUCUUUCGCAGUUUGGAUUAAAAGCUAUUUAAUACUGGAUUUCAGGAGUUUCUAUUAAACUUCAAAGAUACAGUGGACAGAAUCUGUGGCUAAAGAUUGUUGCUGAAGUGGUGUUACAAGGUGUGUUGAUGUUCAAGAGCCAGACAGUUGUUGUUGUUGUUGCUGCUGAAGAGAGAUACAGGUAUU